AGAGUUUGAUCCUGGCUCAGGACGAACGCUGGCGGCGUGCCUAACACAUGCAAGUCGAGCGAGGGGAGUUCUUCGGAACGAACCUAGCGGCGGACGGGUGAGUAACACGUGGGUAACCUGCCUCAAAGAGGGGGAUAGCCUUCCGAAAGGAAGAUUAAUACCGCAUAAUCCAUUGUUUCCGCAUGGGGAUGAUGGUAAAGAUUUAUCGCUUUGAGAUGGACCCGCGGCGCAUUAGCUAGUUGGUGAGGUAAUGGCUCACCAAGGCGACGAUGCGUAGCCGACCUGAGAGGGUGAUCGGCCACAUUGGAACUGAGACACGGUCCAGACUCCUACGGGAGGCAGCAGUGGGGAAUAUUGCACAAUGGGCGCAAGCCUGAUGCAGCAACGCCGCGUGAGUGAUGAAGGUCUUCGGAUUGUAAAGCUCUGUCUUUUGGGACGAUAAUGACGGUACCAAAGGAGGAAGCCACGGCUAACUACGUGCCAGCAGCCGCGGUAAUACGUAGGUGGCAAGCGUUGUCCGGAUUUACUGGGCGUAAAGGGUGCGUAGGUGGAUAUUUAAGUCAGAUGUGAAACCCCUGGGCUCAACUCAGGGACUGCAUUUGAAACUGGAUAUCUGGAGUGCAGGAGAGGUAAGUGGAAUUCCUAGUGUAGCGGUGAAAUGCGUAGAGAUUAGGAAGAACACCAGUGGCGAAGGCGACUUACUGGACUGUAACUGACACUGAGGCACGAAAGCGUGGGUAGCAAACAGGAUUAGAUACCCUGGUAGUCCACGCCGUAAACGAUGAGUACUAGGUGUAGGGGGUAUCGACUCCCUCUGUGCCGCAGUUAACACAAUAAGUACUCCGCCUGGGAAGUACGAUCGCAAGAUUAAAACUCAAAGGAAUUGACGG
rnacentral:rRNA from 1 species